AGGCGGCAGGGGCUCUGGAGUGGAGUUACGGCCACCGCAGCUGGCAUCUGCUGCUCCGCUCUUCUCCCCGGGAACUCUUCUUCCCUGCGGGUGUCCACCCUACCCCAUGUGGGCCCCACGGAUCUACAGACCCCAGGUGAACAGAGGAUUUGCCUUCCGUGCUUUCCUGGAGGUAGUAGAGGGUUUUCCCGGAGCAGAGUGUGGGCUCGUGGCGGUGAUGUGCAGCGAAGAAAGGCGAACAGCUGCGGGCUGUCGGGGUGCGCGCCCACCCCGGGGACUGCGCUGCCGCCCGGGACCCCCGCCCGCGCUCCUGCCCCUCCCUCGGGUCCGCGGCGCAGAGGCGGGCGCUGGCGGCGCGUGGGUCUUGGACCGACGGCGGGGAAAGGGACGGGGGCGCCGGACCUCCUAACGUGGAUUACUUGGUGUAUCCGCUGGGCUUGGAGGACCCACCGCCUCGUCUCCAUCCGUGGACUGAUUCAUUCCACCCAGCAGCCGGUCGCCGACCUGGAGGUAAGUUUCCCUGCGGUUCUAGGGAGACGAUUUGGUCUGCCUUUUUCAUUUUUUCCCUCCUCCGCGUCGCUUUUCGCUUUUCGUAGGUCUCGGGGUUCUGGCCUGAAAUUUUUGUUCUCGGCGUUGACACCCUCUGGGGGUCACUUUAGGGCAGCUUCUGCCUCCGAGUGAAGCUUCCUCGCCCAGGUGGCAGUGGCCAGCGACCUCCCCAGUCCCGUGCGUGCGCCGCCUCCUGCGCAGCCCCCCCGCUGGCUGCCCGGCAGGACGGAGGCUGAGCCCAGAAAAGCGCCCAGCGCCCUUGCGGGCCCACUGGGCCCUGAGCUCGCCCUGUCGCCGGGUCAUUUUCACGACCCGUUACUUUGGGAGCGGAGCGGUGCUGCCCCCGUAGCUCCUGUCCACUGCGACCAAGGGUGCCGCUGGGACACAGCGUUUGGAGAAGGCCUUGUGGCCCGUGACUGAGGAUAGCAGGAGGUGGAGGCGUUUGUUGUAUGGCUUUAGUGCAGGGACAGGGACACUGUCGGGAAGCGGGGAUGCGUUUGGCCGAAUUGUGGGCAAGUUUCUUAAAUGGAAGCCAGAGGGCAAGAAGUCAGUCCCGAGUAUCCACGGAUCGCUCUCUUCCUCCUGGUAACUCACUAAUGGGACAAGUUUCUUGGCCAGUGAGGCUAGGAUCUUAAGUCUUGAGUCCCGAAUGGAAAGCGAACCACUUUUGUAUCCACAGCUUCCUACUCUCCUGUUCUUUUGUUUGCCCUGUUUGGGGCAGGUGGUACCUGUCAUUGUGUAGAUGCGAAAUAGAUGUUUGUGGAAUGAAUGACCGAGCAACUCCACCGCGAUGUGCAGACAUACACCAGGGUCCUCCUUUACUUUGUCUCUCCUCCGUGCUUGUCUUCAACUCCAGUACUUUUUGAUCUGAAGAUGGUUUCCUAGGGAUUCUUUCCCGGUCACAUGGUCUCCCCUACCCCAUCAGCAGCUUGUAGAUUUGGAACCUGUCCCUGAUGAUCCAUUUCCCACCUGAAGCCCCUCCUAGGUAGAAAAUUCCUAGGACUGGUCCUGGGUUGUCUUGAUCAGUGCUCUGGGUUCCAUUUCCCUCACUGAGCACCUGCUCAGGGACGGAGAAAGAACCAGGGGGCCCAGGAAGAAUAAAAGGUGAGUCUGGUUGGUACUACCCUUCUUCCAGAAGCUGGGGCCCUCAAGCUGCCUCUGGCCCCCAUUGCUGAAUCCACGGUGUAGGUAGCUGGUGUAGCUCAGUCUCUGUGGCCCAGCCCUCCCCUGUCCAGUUCUCUGCCUGGCCUGGCUUGCUGGAAGACUGUGGAAAUUGUCCUGCUGUCCAGUGACCCACGCCAUCCAGUCACUCUCUCUUUUAUAGAAAACUAUAAAAAGGCACAAAAGGCAGGAAAACAUCCAGUUCCCACGGUAAUGCUGCAAUUGGGCAUAUUCCCCAGUGGUGAAAUCCUGCAACACGUGUAACUAUGUUUCCUGCUCACUUUUUUCCUGAAUUGUCUUUGGAGGUUUCCCUAGUAUAAUGCGUCUGUACUACUCUCUUCCACUGCAGGGAUUGAAGCAUAAUUUGUUUGAUAAUUCCCCUGUCAUUGGGCACCAAGUUAUUUUCAAACAUUUACCCUUAGAAGUACAUAAUGCAUUAGUAAACGUUCUUCUAUACAUAAGGAUUUGUCCAUGACAUUCUGCGGAAAAUCCCCAGAGAUAGCCAACUUUGCUCUAAGUCAAGGUCUGUCUAAAAAAGUCCAAGGAAUACCUUGGUGGACAUCGCUGAGAUGGGCUUGCAGUGAAGGACCCCAUUCAUCCACCCCACAGUCCUGCGUGUUGGAGAGGGGGUGCAGGCCAAGGACAAAUGGUCACUGAGUGAAUCUAGGGUUUGGUUCUGUUUUCUUUCUCCAGCACUGAAGAGUUGAGUGACACUGUUAUAAUCACAGUCUGUCUUCAGAAUCAUGACAUUAAUUGAUUUAGUAAUAGCAUAGAUUGAGGUUUAUUAGGCAACUCAAUUAAAAAUGCUUCUUUUCUUAAAAAUUAACUUGAUUUUGGGCCGUGGAUUUAGCUCAGUGGUUCCGCUGCCUCGCAAGCACAAGGUCCCGAGUUCAAUCCCUGGUACCCCCCCCCCAAAUUAAUUGAUUUUGAUAUAAAUCCAGAUUUACAGGGAAGUUGCAGAAACAGUACCUAGCAUCCCUCAGGGUCCUCAACCCAGCCUUCCCACCAUUACAUAGGAUACAUCCAUGGUGCAGCAGUAAGGCCCAGGAUUUGGACAUGAAUGCAGUACUUAUGACUCAUCCGUAGGCUGAUUCAGAGUCCUUCAGUGGUCCCACUAAUGUCCCUUCUGACCCACGAUCGAAACCUGGAUCCUACAAGGCCGUUUUGUAAAAUUGGGAGCCAAGAGAGGCCCAGCAAGUCGCCUGUAUUCUGAGGCUGACUCGGCCCCUCCUGAAUCGUAGCUGUGAAGGCUGCAGAGAGCCCUGGGGCCAGGAGUGGGGGGACCCUGACUGUUAAGUGGGAGGCCCAUCUCUGUGUGCCCCUUCCUUGGGCCCAGACCUCCACCAGGAAUGUAUGGUUGAGUAAAAAUUGGUUUAUUACUAAUCUGUCCCAACAUGUCUCUAGGGGGCCGGUAGAUGGAUGACAUCCGGUGUGCGUGAGAGCAGCCACUGAGCAACUGACUUCGUGGUUGACAAGUACAGGGUGCAGUGCCUGUGCGGGUGACUCACUCCCCAGGAGUGGCAGGCAUGUCAGGUGCUCAGUGUGCAAGCCCAGCCGAGGCCACAUUUCCUGGUCACCUGGGCAGGACUGAAGGACAAGGCUCCUGCUCUUGCCUCUACGUGGGUUAAGAGGAUCUAAGAGGAUCGUCAGGUCAUCUCGGAUGAGGAAGUGACUCCCCUCUUCUUUAAGGGAUUUGUUUCCUCUGAGGAGUGAGGGAAUUGGGGUGGGGACAGCCAGCCUAAAGAGAUUUGGGGAUGCACCCGGUGUGACAGAGGGUGGUGCCGGGAUUUUGCUUGAGAGAGUGCUUGUGAGCAGCUGCGGAAACCCAAGAAAGACUAAUUCUCAGACAGCUGAAGUCUAAAUUGAGCCCCUUUCCCAUGAAGCUUACUCAACCCCAGACCAUAUUUCUCCUCAGGAAGCCUUCCUGGCCUACUCACAGCUGCUGUACACAAAGAGACCACAGGAGUCUCCGACCUUCGGCUCACGAACAGAUUCAGGCUGUCUGGGGCAUUCCCGUGCUUUCCCGUGUAGAAGAGUGGCCCGCAUAGGCUGUAGGCGACAUCUGUUUCCAGUGAAGAAGUUUUGAUCUUGCUUAAAUCUCCACAGCACAUGCUUCUGUUGUCCAGGUGGUGUCUGUGACUUUCAGGCCCUGGUUACUCAAGACUUGGAUUUGUCUUUCCCCAUCUGAGCACUUCCAACUUGCCCACUGCAGCUUUAUAACUUUGAAGUGGAAAAACACGCAUUUCUCUCGCUCUCUCCUCUUACCGCACAGGCAUUUUCUGUAGCCAGCAGGCUUCGUGAGGAUCAUAACAGGAAGCAGGAGCAGAGCUGGAGAUGUUGUGACUAAACACUUCUGGUCUGGGCUGCAGUCUACACCUGCCCUCUCCCUCUCUCAGGGACUCCUUUGGUCCGUCCCCUCCCGGAUGCCAGAGUGCUUCCCGCGUGGAUGGACCUGUUACUCUGAAACUGCUCCCCUGUCCCACAGUGUGCCUUCAGAUUGUAACUUGGAAGCCUUCCUAACUCACCCGUGCCUGGUCUGUCCUUCCACUUUGCAUUUCUGUGGUUUGUUGGUACUGGUAUUUACACGGACAUCUUGAAAUCAGGUAUCAUUUAUCUUUGGUUAAGGUGGAAGUAGCUUCAUUUGGGUGAAUAAUAAAGGAACUGCAUUUCUAGUCCAUCAUAAUCAGUCAGAUCUGCUGUCUUUCCCCUUGAGAUUUUGAGGUCCCUGGGUGCUUGGAAGACACCCCUGAGUGGUGCCUUGGCUGGUGUGCCCAGCAGACCACUACUGCUUCUGUUUCUAGCCACCAUCUUUCUAGAUGAUGUCACUGUCAUCGUGGAACAGGUGGGGUCCUCCAUUCAAAUUGAGCACCACCUCAGCCAAUAGACACAGGCAGCUCGCUGCAUAGAAGGACAGGAAUGAUCUUGCACGCGUUUCUUCCUUUCAACUGUGCCGUUGGCUAAGGAUGCCCCAUCAGAAAUCACUUGGGCUCCCUUGCUUUACAGACUAAUUUUGCACCUGAAAAAAAAAGUCUAUACAAAACCAAUCUUGGUCGAUUACGUGAUCUCCAGAAGGCCUGGAAGAAUCGUGCAACCUGGCAGAAUGCUGAAGUAGCAGGUUUCUGUCCAAGAAUGCUUUCUGUAGCAUGAAUCAUCACCUCCUCCCAUAUUUGGUUUGUUGGUACAGGUUUUUGCACAGGAGUCUUGAAACCAGGUGCGCUUUUGUGUGUGCCUGUGUGUGGUUCAACAGAAGUGGCAGUGUUUGAGCUGGCGUUUGAAAGGUGUUCACUAGGGUCUCAUUUGAAUAGCUCCCAGAUCUAUUUCUUUUGCCUAAAAAGCACACCCUUGACUCAAUUCAUUUUAGUAACUUCCUUUGCUUUCACCAGACUGACAAACCCACCUAGGACAGGCCUGUAGGGACCACCCCUGUCUGCCCAUCAAUUUUGUGCAGUGAUUGAUUAGCGAUUUCAGGGCACGCUUUUUGAGCAAGCCCAUGGAGUAUUUUCUCUCUCUAAUUAUAGAUGAAUUUCCAAUCCCUUGCCUGUCUUAGUUUCACAAAUUUUGACGCUUGCUUCUGUUGGUGUCAGUGAACCCCCUUUGAUUCACGUGCGUGUGGUCCCUGGUGGUCUUUGGGGCCGGGCGGAAGCCAACUUGAAGAUGUGGCAGCCUCUUUGGGUGGAGAGAUCUGCUGUGCUUUGUGCCUAGAAAUUGAGGUGUCUGAGAUGCUGGCCUUUGGGGACAACUUCUUCACAGUGUGAGUGAAACCCUCAGGAGCUUUAAGCGACAACGAUCGUUUCUGCAAUUGUGUCUUCAUCACUUAACCUGAUUAAAAAAUGUAAACCUCUCUUGUUGUGAUAAAAUAUACACCUCAACUUUGCCAUGUUAAUCAUUUUUAAGCAUCCGGUUCUGGCAGCAUUAAGUACACUCACAUUGUUGUGUAACCAUCCUCCUCGUCCGUCUCCAGAACCCUUUCAUCUUCCAAAUUGAAACUGCCUUCAUUAAACACUAACUCCCAACCUCGCCUCCCCCAGCCCCAGCACCUGCACUUCUACUUUCUGUCUCUGUGAAUCCGACUGUUCUAGGGAACUCAUGCAAGUGGAAUCACGCAGGAGUUGUCUUUCUGUGUCUUAUUUUACUUAGUGGAACGUACUCGACGUUCAUCCAUAGUGCAGCAUGUCAGAAUUUCUUUCCUUUGUAAGCUGAAUAUUAUCCCAUCAUGUGUAUAUAUUACAUUUUGUUUAUCCGUUCAUCCGUUGGGCAUUUGGAUGGCUUCCACCUUUUGCCCAUUGUGAAUAAUGUUAUGAAUGUAGGUGUGUAAAUAUCUGUUCAAAUCCCUGCUUUCAGUGCCGUUGGGUAUAACAUCAGAGGUGGAAUUGCUGGAUCAUAUGGUAAUUCUGUGUUUGAUGUUUUUGAAGGACCACCAAACUGUCCUUUCCAGCAGCUAUACCACGUUAUAUUCCUGCCAGUAGUGCACAAAACUUCCAAUUUCUUGCCAAUAUUUACCCCCCACCUCCACCCCACUGCUUCCCUCCUUUCCUUCCUUCUGCCCUGAUGGGGGUGAGGUGCUUUUAGCUUUGAGGAGGCAGUCUCCACUGAGAAUUCAGUGCCCAGGGAACCAAGGAGUAUCGGAGUUUAUGUGGGCACAGUUACUCUUUUAAAAUUAAGAAAUCAGGUGACCUAACAUGUCCCUGAGGUCUUGAUUACAUAAACUGGAGUUUAUCCAGUGCUUUUGUGCCCAUAUGCUAUCUGAUGUCACUCUCAACCAGGUGAAGUAGUCAGGGGUCUUCCCCGCUUUACAGAGGAAGACAUCGAGGUGCAGGUGAGUGAAGCCAGGUGUACAGACAGCAGCCGUGGGGAGCUUCCCUGAGGACCCUAACUCCUAGCCUGGGAAACACUGUGAAAAGUAGUAUUUCUGUAAGCAUUGCCGUGGGAAAAUGAAGCAGGGAGGAUGGAGACUGUCUUCCUCAUUUGAAAGAACUCUAGGGUGAGGGCCGGGGAUUUAGCUCUGUGGUUCUGACACCUGCCUCGAAAGCACAAGGUCCUGAGUUCAAUCCCAGGUACCAAAAGAAGAAGAAGAAGAAGAAAAAAAAAGAACUCUAGGGUGAAUCCUUUCUGUCCACUCGUCCUGCAGGGACAAAUUUCCGUGUGUGAACUUUGCUGAGAGUCAGUAACUUGUUUUUGUUUUUUUGUUAGAGAACCCUUUUCUGCUCAGUCAAAUGGCUUAAGGAAUGCCCCUUUGAGCCCAGAGGUGGAUGUCAGAUUUCUUUGGUCCUGGCUGGGGUAAGGUGACUGCCUCCUUUCUCGAGGUUUCUGGCUGAGGCUCAGUCGGUUCUGGGGUGCACCUGGCUGUCCCGUGUCCAUUCUCGGGGUGGACUGGACCUUCCGUAGGUUUUCUUGUCCCGGGCGCAGAUUGUGUUUGGGUUUGCGUGGUUCUUAUGCCUCUUUACACUUCCCCACUUGUGGUGAGAGGAAAGUGGACUCGAGCCCUGGGAACCCCAUAAAUCUGGCUCCUUUCCAUCUUUAUUUGUUCAUCAUAUUUCUUUGUAUCUUAAAAAUGAAGCAGGAAAAAGCAAAGCCAUUGCUCCAGCGCUUGGGGUUAUAGAAUGGGUUCACUCAGUGAGUUUUUCUUGUCUCUGGAGGAAAGGGAUGCCUCCGGGACCCCAUCCCGUGGUGACCUCUGUCUGUGACCCCUCCUCCUUUUGGCUUCAGACUUGUUUAGGGGUCCCUGAGUUCUGUCAAGGGAGAUUUUUCAGAAUCUCAGGGAAUUUGUGGUCACUGGUAAGCCAGCUGGGCAAUUCAGGUGUUUGGGUUUUAAUUAAAUUUCUAAGUGGAAACCAGGAAUGUGGUUAACCAGAGCUGAGACAGUCCUGCCUCCUCAUUCCACACUGACCACUGGGUUGUUCAGCCUUUCUGGGGAUGGCUUUCCUGGCCAUUUUCAGUGUCCUCUCUUAUCCUGCUGCUCCCCGGCCCCCACUGUUUUGAUAGGACCAGCUCGUUUUCCCUUUGACAAGCUCUUUCUCUAAGCUUUUCUCAUCUACAGGCAUCUGUGUGGCUGCCUUCCCAGUGCACCAGUCAGAGUGGCCACUGGUGGCCUCCCUCAUCCCUGAAGUCAUGACCCAGUCCAAGUCCUUCUCCCUAUCCCUUUAGGAAGGGCCAGUGACCAGCCUCUCCAUGCAGUGGAGUUCUACAGGGAAGGAGAGAGAGCUAACUUUUGGUGCUUCCAGAAUUUUCAUUCCCCUCAAUUUUCACCACCUGGAAUGUUAUCAUUGUCAUCUCCUGCAUGGAAGGCUUGGAGGCCUCAGGAAAAUCCUGAAUGUCUCACAGCAUUGCAGAUGGUUUAAGAUGGCAGCCUGUCCCACACUGGUCACCUCAUUUUGUAUGACUGGACAUGUCACUGGCCUCUCUGGGCUCAGAUCCCCAUCUGUGAAAGGAAGUGCAUCUAGGCUGGUGGUUUUUAGUGGCAAGUUGCAGAGACACCAGCUGGUACCAUUUUAAACAAGUGAGUGUUUUGGUUGUUCAUCUGAGUGAGAAGUCUAGGGGUUGUGCUACUGGUAGGAAGUUGUGUUUUCUUUCCAGUUAUUUUCAUCCUCUCCUCUUCUGUACACAGCCUCAUCUUAAGUUUGCAGACAGAGCAGCAGUGUUUGUGUGCAGGCCUCCUGCCUCUACAGAACUUUGGUGCUAGCAUUCCUGCCAGCUGGCCUCAGGGCCACACCCAGUCCAAGAGAUGGGGUGCUUUCAUUGGCUCCUCUGUGGUCACAUGCUUCAUACCUGGGAUUGUGGGUGGAGAUGGUUUCCCUCCCCAGAGCCACUAGGAUUCUGAAAAUGGAAACUAGGGCCGGAGGAAGCAGAGAUAGAUGGAGGAAGGUGCUACCACCACGACCACGUACCAUGUGUCAAGAUGCCAUGUUUUCUAUGAAUUAAUUGGACUACAAGACGAUCCACCAGAAUGUUUGCUUUGGGGACAGGGACCUAGUUGUGUUCAUUUUUGUGUACUUGGUAUUUGGGAUUGUGCCAGGGCAUGCCAAUUCUCAAUAAAAGCUCAUGCAUGAAUGAACCUUGACAGUACCUUCCCCUUCUAACUGUCUGAACCUGAGAGUAUGUUUUUGCAUGGAAACCUCAGCUUGCCUCAUCAGGGAGCUGGCAUUUUGGCUCUUAAGCUGCAAAAUCCAGCUUUGCAGUUGAUUGGCCGUGACUGGAUUCUUGUUCAUUUGCACAAAAGAUUUGUCACUGGAAUAGCAACUUGAUGCUUGGAGCAGCAUCUUACCUGGGAUUUCUUCAAAGAAAGGCAAAUGCAUUCUCUUAAUUUUGUUGUUCAACUGGUAUGAAAAGCCCAGUGACAGGAACUGGGGGUAACAGGCUUGUACAGACUUCUUGCUGGGCUCCUGUAUUUGACAGUCCAGUGGAAUGCUGAGAACCCAGGGAGGCCAAACCUGGACUUCUCCAAGCCCAACCACACAAGUGGACUUAUUUAGGCAGCUCUUCUGUGUUCACACAUCCAUGUGCCAACUGGGAAGGAAAUCUUCUGGGUGCUCCAUGUGAGAGAGACGGCUUUGAUCUUCAGACUGCUGAGCUGAAGGUGGGGGACCCAAUAUUACUUGCUUUGUCCAUGGACUACACAGGUAGGCUUUGUUUGAGCAGCAGUGACUCAGGCUCAUGGGCUGUGUGAAGCCACGUUGCUCUGGCAGGUGCUACCAGCUGUCAUCUUUUGCCAUCGUUGGGAAAAAAAAGUGUCAAUGUCGUAGUGUUGGGUGGUUUCUCCCAAACUUGAGUAGGAAUAGCCUUUUUAGUGAGUGAAAGGAAAGGAGAGGGGUGAUCUUCAUGCAUUAAAGGGGGCAGAUGCCUCAGGAAGAGUGCUGGCCCCUACCCUUGGUAUUGCCCCAAUUUCCAGAUGAGAAAGCUGAGGUUCUCAGAGGUUUUUGUCACUUGUCCAAAGUCACCCUUCUGGUCAGUGGCAAGGCCAGAACUUGAUGUGCUCACAAGUUGGCCCAUGACUGCAUCCAUCUAACUACUAUCUGCAAGCUGGGGUCCUGUCUCCUUGGGAAAGUGCUAGAAGCCACCAGUCAAAUGAAUUUCAUCUUGUUUCUGUCCUUUGCCUCCUUCUCCCAAUAAACCACCGACAGCUUUAAAAUAGCAUCUGCCCUCUCCAGGUAGAGGUGAAACGCACACCCCCGUAGAGCUAGAAACUGACUUCUUUCCGCCCUGCGGACCAGACGAUGUAGUCAGUGUUACUUAGUACCAAAACUAAUUAAAAUGCUCAUUUAUGGCAGUCUCACCCAUGAGAAACCCUCAUUCACAGCGUCUUAGGUUCUGGGCUUUCCCCCUAGCUCUACUUCUGUUUGCUACCUUUUGCUCACUAAGGUUUGAAGUCUGGUUUGGAGAGCUAUCCAUAAUUGCAUAUCAUUGCAUCUGAAUCCAGGUGUAGAUGCAGGGCUGUUUGUCUUCAAAAGCACCACAGCACUGUCCUGACCGUUCUCUUGGAGAGGCACAGUCCCACAACCUACAUCAGCAUCACAGUAUCCCUUCCUGGAAUACCAUGAAGGUUGCUGAAGCCAGAGCUCACUUAGUUGAAUUCCUGUCACAUUUUACAUCUCCUGUGAUUCCUGGCAUUUAGAAUGACAAUUCUAGGGGUGAGAGGGAUGUCCCGGCAUCCUCCACAAAGGAGGCUUGUGAGGUUUGGGGCGCACACAUCAGUGGGACUGCAGAGCAGACUGGACCUGUCAUCAAGGUGUUCAGUGGAAGUGUUGGGUUAGGGAUUCUAAUUCUCAGUCGACUGGGACGCUACUUUUUACUCCUCGCCUUCAAGUUGAGCUUUCAGAGCGACUCCACUGCUAGGCUCGCUCUUCGGAUGGUAUGUCUGGAUUUGGGGGGAGCUGCCCCAUGCUGGCCCAACAUCACCUUUGGAUAGGACAGGGCCCUGUGAGAAAUUUCGCCCCAGUGAGCUGUGCUUCUACAGAUGCCACAGGCUGUGUCUUCUGCACAAAGAACCUUUUAGCUGACAGAACUAGAAGGGCAGCGAAUGGAGCUCCUGCAUGGCCUUGUGAUGGGGUGGGAGGGAAGGCCUCAUGCACUGAACUGGGUAGACUGAGUCUUACAUUCUCCUUUCACCUACUUUUUCUUUCCCCUUUAGACCCUAUGCAGUGCUAAAAGCAUGGCUCCGGGGCUGUAUCUGCUUGGCCUUGAGUUGCGUCUGUGCUCUGGUGAUGCCGGAUUGAAUCAGGAAGAAGUUUCCUUUUUCUAGCCAGGAGGUGCAAUUCCCUUUUGGCUUUUUUUCUUGGAACUAUAGACUUUGGGCCACCGCAGUUUCCUAUGGGCUUAAGUGAGAUGACUUAGGAGCAGACGGUGUGCACACUUUGAUGUGGAAGGCAAAUUUGAUGAAUUGCCAGCCCAGGACUCUGUUGGCUCCAUGGGCAGGCAGGAAAGAGGUGUGGGAGCGGAGGCCUGGCGAGCCUUCUAGCUCUCCCAUCCUCGGAUCUGGAAUGAGCUUGUCUCAGCCUGUUUUACCCGGUGUCUUGAUAGCUUUUCUUUCCCUCCUGGGUUGCAUCCUCCUCUCUCCUUUCCUUCCUCUCCCAGUCCACAGUCAAUGCACUAACAUUGGAGGUGACACUGAAUCCAGUAUUCUUGCCCAGGUUGUAUUUCAGUAAACUUGCCAAUGGGUUGCCUGGGGGCUAACUCUAGUUUUGCAAAGUUUUCUUCUUUACCUAGUAUUUCUCUUCCUUGAACUUGUGUAGUAUAUGCUGCCAUAGUUGUAUCCCAUGCCUGGGUCUUUUUUUCCUUCACAGUAAUCAUAAGUGUGCAUUGUCUGGUUUCAUAGCAGCCGGCCUGCUCCCCAGUAAAGCCUUAAUAUAAACAGGGAGACUUGGCAGGUGGAUGGCCCACACUGCUCUGCCCUUUGGCGGGUGUGUGCCUGCGGUUACACAGGGAGCCGAGUCACCGGGCUCCAACUCUGAAAGCCAAACAAGCUCCACGCUAACAGCAGUUAUGCGUCUUGCUUUCUGAGGGUCUUAUUGGUUUUUGCUUCGGGUGGUCUUGAGAAUCACACUGCUCUAUCCCCUGUGCCUGUUUUUGUCUUUUUUUUUUUUUUUUUUAAUCCACAGAGCCUUUUUAUUUUCCCCCACAUCAUACCCUUGUAAUUUGCCCUGUGGCUUUGGACACACCACACUGUCCCUUGGAGCCUCAGUUUCCCUUUCAGAUACCUUGGGAUGAGUUGAGCCCUCGGUUAGUUUUAGCAUGGAGGGGUCCCCUUGUUUCCCUCGCUGUUCCCUGCAGAUGGUCAGGAGGAAAAGGCAGUGAAGGAGAAACACUGGGUUGUCCUCGCUGGACAAACUGCUUUUGGCUGUUCUGUAGCACCCUGGGCUUCUCGGAGAAGUACUUUACUCGGUCAAACAUAAGAAAGUAAAAAUAGAAAGCAGUCUUGCUGGGCGAUCUUUAUAAAACAUCAGCUGUGGCAGUUUGGGAUGUCUUUUGUUAUGGUGACCUUGUACCAAAAUAAGCAAAUCAGAAGCAUAAGUGACUCUUCCCCUGAGGUUUGGGAGAGGGUCAAAGCUUAUUUCAGGCUUCCCUGAGGGGAGCAUCCUGUUUACCCCUUCCCAGGGUGAGUGUGGACUCAAACUGCCUCAGAGCUCUGGUCAAAGGCCCCCUCUUUCGGGAAGAAUGAGGUUCUUUUUAGCGUGUGGGUCCUGCUAGGUUCCCAUCCUGGAUUGGGAAGCAGACAGACACUGUGGGGCACACACUGGUGGUGAGCGGGAUGGAGGAGAAUUCCGCUCAGUGGCUGCCUGUGGGCCGCCCCUCACUUGCUCCUGAGGCACAGUGACGCCUUGUUACAGCCCAGAUUGUCCUGGGAAUGAGAAGUCCUGUGCUCCCCCUCCUCCUUCCAGCCCAACCUCCCUCCCCUCCCCUUACAGAAAAAAAAAUUCCUUCCCCCUUUCAGCAUCCGUGUCUUUAAGAAUUCCCUCCAUUGUAGCCCUGGACAGAGACCCUUCUGUAAGUGCGCUGGAGGCCUGUCCUGGGGACACCCCGCCCCCCCUAUUAAAAGACCAUCGGAACAAGCUCACCAUUCUCCUCUGGAGAGGGUCCCUCUGUCCCAGGCCAAGGGACUCUUAAGGGAACGUUUAUCCUGGGACACUCAGUUUACAAAGACUGCUGCAGUGUCAGAUAAACUCACUCAGCCCUGUGGGGAGGGGUGGGUUGGGAGGAGGACAAAACCCCCUUUAUUCCCACCCCUGCGGGGAGACCAAUAAAGACUUUGUGCUGGAGAGCAGGGGUCUGAGCAAACAGAUGAAGGGGUCUGUGUUGGCAUUGAUGUGUGAGAGCAUUAUGGGCUAUUAUCUUAUCGUUUGAGUUUUGGGGGAAGUCUUGGCCUGGGUGGCUGAUGGCGAGGUCCAGUCAGGUAAAGUGAUCCUAGAUUCCCUGCUCCUGCCUCUUGGGCAAGUCGGUUGCGGUUUGCAAUCCCUAGGUGGUUUUUUCUACUAUUUGGAUAGGGCAAAUACCAAUUCAGUGGACCAGGCUCCAGCCGUGUGUGUUGUAGAAGAUUCGUGGUCUCAGCAUCAUGGGAUAAAUUUGGCCGUGUGUGUGUGUGUGUGUGUGUGUGUGUGUGUGUGUGUGUGCGCGCGCAUGUGUCCAUCCCACCUGCGAUGUAUGUGCCUGUUUCGUGUGUGACACCAUCUAGUGUGGUUUUGACCACACAUAGCAUAGAGGUUUCACUCAGUUGUGUAAAACCGGUCAUUUGUGAGAGAAGAGCAUGACGGAUAUUUGUAGAACACUUACUAAGCACUGUGAGUUGUAUCAGCAUCUCAUUUAAUCUCAGGGUUUUGUUGAGGAGAUAGAUCUUUUCUUGAGGAGAUUGAUCUUCCAGACCAGCAGUGCAAAGCUCAGAGAGGGAAAGUGACUUGCCUAAUGUGACCCAGCAAUCCUUGAGGAUCCAGCUCUGCUGCAUCGAUCUCUGUCUGCUGCAGACUGGAGGCUGGGCUUAGCCAGGGCCCAGGGCAGCUGUAAGG
rnacentral:lncRNA from 1 species